CGUAGGUGACCUGCGGAGGGAUCAUUACACAAUAAAAUAUGAAGGCCUGGCUUCGCGGCCGGCUGAAAUAUUUUUUCACCCAUGUCUUUUGCGCACUUGUUGUUUCCUGGGCGGGUUCGCCCGCCACCAGGACCAAACCAUAAACCUUUUUCUUAUGCAGUUUCCAUCAGCGUCAGUAAAAACAAUGUAAUAAUUACAACUUUCAACAACGGAUCUCUUGGUUCUGGCAUCGAUGAAGAACGCAGCGAAAUGCGAUACGUAGUGUGAAUUGCAGAAUUCAGUGAAUCAUCGAAUCUUUGAACGCACAUUGCGCCCUUUGGUAUUCCAAAGGGCAUGCCUGUUCGAGCGUCAUUUGUACCUUCAAGCUUUGCUUGGUGUUGGGCGUUUUUGUCUCCCUCUUUCUGGGAGACUCGCCUUAAAACGAUUGGCAGCCGGCCUACUGGUUUCGGAGCGCAGCACAUUUUUUGCGCUUUGUAUCAGGAGAAAAGGACGGUACUCCAUCAAGACUUUUACAAUUUUAACUUUUGACCUCGGAUCAGGUAGGGAUACCCGCUGAACUUAAGCAUAUCA
rnacentral:rRNA from 1 species